GGAGACGCUUCAGCAGGAUCUGAAGGACAGGACACGGCUAUGCUGCUAUUACAAACGGAAAACGAAGCUCAAAACCAAAAAUUACAACACAAUACAAACUAUUAAUUAAUACCUAAUUGACCUUCGGGCUCUGUGCUCUUUUCAGCAGCCUUAGCCAUUUCUCUAGCAUUGUGAAUGCCCUUUUCACUUCUUUGAAUAAUUUCUCCUGCCAUUUCUCGGCCACCAUUAUCCCAGAUAUCAGUAAAAAACUUUCCACCAAUUAUGCUUGCUUCGGCCGAAGGGUCUUUUGAGUCGUCAAAGGACAAAGCAGUUUCGGAUUGUGCUAAGAUUUUUACGUGUUCACAGCCCUUCUUCUCUAGAAUGGUGGCAAUUCCUCUGGCCCCAGAGAAAGCACAUAUAUCCCCACGGCUAUUUAAAAUUUCUUCGAAGGCUUCAGCUUCGUGGUCGAUCCAUUCAAUAGGACCUUCGGGAUUGCCUCUUAUAAAGUUUUCUUCACUAGAGAAGACGCCGACCCUGGCGAAGCUAGCCCUCAACUUCUUAACACAUUCUAUAGAUUUGUUAUAGCACCUCUUCUUGGAUGAACGAAGCUCUUCAACAGUUGCUUCCAAGUGAUCCGCCCAUUGGUCGCUGAGCUCUCGCCUUGUUUCUUCAAGUAUACGUUCUUCCCUGGCUCUGGCCAGUUGUUUCCGAAGAUCUUCUAUUUCGCGUUUCUGAGCUUCAGCCUGACUCUUGGACGCAGCUUCGUCUUCCUUGAUUUUAUUUACCAAUGAGUGUAAUAUUUUAUCUUUUUCAAGGCCUUCGUUCCUCAGUUCAAUUACUUCGGAACGAAGGUUGCUCAGGGCUAUAGUACACCCUUCGUCUUCAGCAUCUUUUUGUGCCCUGAGGGCAUUACUAAGUAUCAGGCCCUGCAAAGAAAAGUAUGUGUGUUUCAAUAAAACAAGCAAAAGGUUUUUUUUCAACAAAGAAUACAAGGAUCCCAUUUGUUGCACCUUUAAGCUAUUGUAGGCCAGGCUGUCGGCCAAAUCGUUCUUCGACAGCACCGAGAGCCCGUCUUCUAAGGUUGGGAAUCCGAAGCUCUUGCUCAUCUCCCGGCAAACAGAAAUUUCCUUGUUGUCAGGGAGACAAUACAAAAAGUCUUCUUCUCCGCUACCAUUGAAUAUUAACGCCCCCUUUGGAUACUUCAGCUUUUGGGCGUAAUGCUGGGCCUCUUGCUCCUCUUUUUCUGAAAGUUUCUUCCCCGAAGCAUGACGAACAAUAUAAUCACGAACUCUGAUGGAUGCUUCGGGGGCAAUGACUUCGAUCUCUUCAGCAAAAGUUGGCUUUGUUAUUUUUUCCUCAGUUUCCAAGGAUUCUAUCUUCGCGGGCUCUGAGGACCCAGCUUCGGCUUCAGUCCCUUGCACUGGAGUUUUGUCAUAAGAAAUUUCAGUUGUUUCAGGAAUGGCAGCAGCCUUCUUCGGAGGCGUGCUUGAAGUUUUAAUUGUUUCUAGUACAUCUAGCACAUUCGCCAUUCUUCUUCUUUUUGGAGUCACUGCUGGCACUUUUUGAUUUUUUGUUGUCUCAACAUUUGCUGCAGGACUCACAAUUUCUGGUACUUUUUCUUCAGUUGGUUUUUUCACUUCUGCAAUUUUUUCUGUGGAUGGCGCUUCGGCCAUUUCUUUGGUUUCUGGCAGCGAAACCUUCGGUUCUUCUAGUUCUAUCUUUUUCGCCAUUUCGGUCAUCCCUGUAGCUGCAGGUGGCGUGACUGGUCUGGUUGGCUUUUUAGCCUCGGUAGCCGAAGAAGAUUUUUCGGUAAACUCCGGCACCGAAGCUGGUUUGAUAUAGCGCGGCCGGUGAGUGAGGACUUUUAUUUUCUUUCUUUCAGGCUCUGGCUCGCUAGGAGCAGUUGCAGCUUCUUCUUUUGCAGAGGUUAUGUUCUUUCUUUUCUGCCUUCGGACGGGGUAGCAAUAGUCAGGGUAAACAAACCCAAUUGCAUCAAAUACCCGAUUCAGCCUCUUCUUUUUUCGGCCUCCGAAGGCUGCUGACAUCGCAGUAUCUUCGGCCUUCGAAUAAGCACCAAGCAAUUCGUCACUUAAAUUUUCAAUACUCUUUAGCCAGUCGUCAUCUGGCUCAGUAAAUUUAUCUCCAAACUUGAAGGUGUACUUCAGUCUCACAAGCCCACCUUCGUCGGCCUCUUUUGUGGUUUCUUGAGGCAUUUCCCAUUUCUCCGCAAGAGGCCACACCCGGAAGGCAAUAUGCUCUUGUACUAAAUCUCUUGUUCCAAUAAAAGAGCAGAUGACGCCGAAGGCCCUCUGGCAUUCUUCGGCAGCUUCAUUCAUUUCCACCUUCGGCCUCCGAAGGCCGAAGCUUUGCCAAAUAGGACGCAUAAUUAUACCUUUGAUGUCUUCUCGUGCUGAUAGGUCAUUCUUCACAUAAAACCAUUCUGUCAUCCAAUCCCCGGGCCAUCUCUUCCGAAAGGUUGGUACGGGACAGCUUGCCCCGGACCGAGAGACGAAACUGUAGCAGCCAAAGUUAUUAUGGUACUGUUCUUUGCCCCAAGGCUUUGUUUCAUAUAAUAAUUCAUGUAUAUUACAGAAGCUUCUUGCAUCAGGCUUCAGACCUUGGCUUCUCGCGGCCCACACGAAGAUAUUUAGCCUUAUAAUUGCCUCGGGAGUAAGUUGAUGAAGAUAGACUUCGAAGAUUUUCAACACCUCCACGACGAAGCUGCUCAAGGGGAAUCGCAAUCCAGCUUUCAAAAAGCUUCGAUACACCACAACUUCAUUUUCUUCAGGGUGUGGACAAGUCUUUUCCCCUUUGUCCGCCCUCACAAUGGACAGAUCCCGGAAAUACCUUCCCCUCAUAUUGGCAAGAUGGUUUUCUUUGAUAGCUGAUUUGCCGAAAACCGCAUGACUUGGUCGCCAGGGGCGAUCUUCGGAGUCUUCACCGCCACUAUCUACAUCAAAACUGUCACUGUCACCAGUAUCUUCAGACAAGCCUUCCAGAAUUUCCUUGGUGAUUUUUUCCGUGUUUGUCUUCGACAUCGCUAUAAGAAACCCCAAGUUUUUCUCCUCAUCAAGAGACAGCUUCGUCUCAGUAACAGCUUCCUUGUCUCCAGACAUCUUCGGAAACACUAAAAAACUGUUUUCAAAGUCGAAGCUUUAAAACUAAAGACUCAGGGAAUCUUAGCGCGCAAAAGCUAAAAAUCGAGCGAGCGAGAGCAAGUGGCAAGAGAGCGUACCAAAUGAGCUCGCGGUAUGCUCUUAUUUAUACGCUCGGUGUGGUAAAAAUUGAAAGACCCCGCCUGUCAGUGAAUGUUGCUAUUCUAGCAAAGGGAAGGUGUUUUUUCGGACCUUCGGCUUAAAGCCUUCGUCCAUGUCGCAAUCUAAAUUUAUUAUUUUAACAAAUUAAUAUUGCGAGGGGCUACUGUUGGGGGCCUUCGGCUUCCGAAGGUCCUCAAAAACAUGAUUUAACAGUGUUUUUAGAGUAUAAUGUGUGAGCAGGUAUCUUCGGACUCGUAUCAGAAAGGGAGAAGCUCAAAAGAUACGAAGGUUGACACAGCGCCGAAGCUGUGAAGCAGGAAAGCUUCGGCAUGUUCGCAGAAAAGGGAACCGACUUAAAGAUGAAAAGGCCAUUUAAACCUCGAUAGAUUGCUAUAGAAUUAUCACCAAAUGUAAAGGGCAUGUAUGUAAUUUUGUAUGGGUUGUACCCCGUGCCUAUAAAUAGGUGAACAGUACCCCCGUACUGUUCACGCUGACUUGGUGUUCACUUUUGCGUCACGCUUGUACUUUCAUUUCCUUCAAAUUGAAGGUACAUCUGUAAUCCAAUGUUAUUUUUAUUUAUAUAUAAUAAUGAUAUAUGAUGAUCUACGUAAUUCUUUAUGUUUCUUGUAAUUCAUUCUUCGUUAAUAUGCAAUGCAUUUAUAAUGGUUCGCCCUUUGUGACCUUCGUCCGAAAAUCAUUAUAUCCCAAGGGAAAUAAUGCUUCGUAGGACGAAGGACUUAACCGAUUAACAUUUUCUGUGUUGCCUUGUUCUUGAAGCAUUUGAGAACAAGUCCCCAACAAUGGCGAUGCGCAACCCGUUAACCAGAGCCUCGUACUCGGCCACGUUGUUGGGCGCCGGGAAAUGGAGGCGCAGCACGUAGCGGAGGUGCUUCCCGAGGGGCGAGAUGAAGAGCAGGCCCGUGCCCGCUCCUGUCUUCAUCAGCGACCCAUCGAAAAACAUGGUCCAGAGUUCUGGUUGGAUCGGAGCUGCUGGAAGCUGGGUGUCGACCUAUUCAGCCACAAAGUCCGCCAAGACUUGGGACUUGAUGGCCUUCUGAGGAGCGAACGAGAUUGUCUCGCCCAUGAUCUCCACUGCCCACUUUGCAAUCCUACCCGAGGCCUCUCGGCACUGGAUGAUCUCCCCCAGGGGGAAGGAUGACACCACAGUCACCGGAUGAGACUCGAAGUAGUGUCGCAACUUUCGCCGCGUCAGAAUUACCGCGUAUAGUAGCUUCUGAAUUUGCGGGUAGCAGAUUUUGGUCUCGGACAGUAUCUCACUGAUGAAGUAGACCGGCCUCUGGACGGGCAAUGCAUGCCCCUCUUCUCGUCUCUCGACUACGAUCGUGGCGCUGACCACCUGAGUGGUUGCGGCUACGUAGAUCAAGAGGGCUUCUCCGGCAGCGGGGGGCACCAAGAUGGGCGCGCUUGUGAGGAGUGACUUUAGGUUUCUGAGGGCUUCCUCAGCCUCGGGGGUCCAAGUGAAGCGCUCGGUCUUCCUUAAGAGGCAGUACAGAGGUAGGCCUCUUUCACCGAGGCGCGAGAUGAAGCGGCUCAGAGCCGCAAGGCAUCCCAUAACCCACUGUACUCCUUUCAAGUCCUUGAUGGGCCCCAUGUUGGUGAUGGCCGCGAUUUUCUCCGGGUUGGCCUCGAUGCCCCGCUCGGAGACGAUGAACCCCAGGAGCAUGCCUCGGGGGACUCCGAAGACACACUUCUCGGGAUUGAGUUUUACGCCUUUCGCCUUGAGACACUUGAAUGUCGUUUCAAGGUCGGAGAGGAGGUUGGAGGCUUUUCUCGUCUUGACUACGAUGUCAUCGACGUAAGCCUCGACCGUUCGACCAAUGUGCUCUCCGAACACGUGGUUCAUGCACCUUUGGUAUGUCGCACCCGCAUUCCUCAAACCAAAUGGCAUAGUAAUGUAGCAGUACAUGCCAAAAGGUGUGAUGAAAGAAGUCGCGAGCUGGUCGGACUCUUUCAUCCUGAUUUGAUGAUACCCUGAGUACGCAUCGGGGAACGACAGGGUUUCGCACCCAGCAGUGGAAUCCACGAUUUGAUCGAUGCGAGGCAGAGGGUAGGGAACUUUCGGACAUGCUUUGUUUAGACCAGUGUAGUCUACACACAUCUGCCAUUUCCCACCUUUCUUUUUCACAAGCACAGGGUUGGCUAGCCAUUCGGGAUGGAAUACCUCUUUGAUGAACCCUGCUGCCAUCAGCUUGUGGAUCUCCUCGCCUAUGGCUCUGCGCUUUUCUUCGUCGAAUCGGCGCAGAGGCUACUUCAUGGGUCGGGCUCCAGCUCGGACAUCCAGCGAGUGCUCGGCAACAUCCCUCGGUAUGUUGGGCAUGUCCGAGGGGCUCCACGCAAAAACCUCGGCGUUCGCACGGAGAAAGUCGACGAGCACUGCUUCCUAUUUGGGGUCGAGCUCGGAGCCGAUUUGGACCUGCUUGGAGGUGUCGUUGCUGGGGUCGAGAGGGACGGACUUAACCGCCUCAGCUGACUCGAAGUUGCCGGCGUGGCGCUUCGCAUCUGGCACCUCCUUGGAGAGGCUCUCCAGGUCGGCGAUGAGGGCCUCGGAUUCGGCGAGGGCCUCGGCGUACUCCACGCACCCCGCGUCGCAUUCGUACGCGUGUCGGUACGUGGAGCCGACGGUGAUGACCCCGUUGGGGCCCGACAUCUUGAGCUUGAGGUAGGUGUAGUUGGGGACGGCCAUGAACUUGGCGUAGCAUGGUCUCCCCAGCACUGCGUGGUAGGUUCCUCGGAACCCGACCACCUCGAACGUGAGGGUUUCCUUUCGGAAGUUGGAAGGAGUCCUGAAGCAAACAGACAGAUCGAGUUGCCCAAGGGGUUGGACGCAUUUCUCGGGGAUGAUCCCGUGAAAGGGCGCUGCGCCGGCCCGGAUCAUGGACAGAUCGAUCUGCAGGAGCCCAAGGGUCUCGGCGUAGAUGAUGUUGAGGCUGCUGCCUCCGUCCAUGAGGACCUUGGUAAGCCUGACGUUAUCGAUGACGGGAUCGACAACGAGCGGGUACUUCCCCAGGCUCGGCACGUGGUCGGGGUGGUCGCCCUGGUCGAAGGUGAUGGGCUUGUCGGACCAGUCUAGGUAGACUGGCACCGCCACCUUCACCAAGCAGACCUCCCAGCGCUCUUGCUUGCGGUGCCGAGCCGAGGCGUUCGCCACUUGCCCACCGUAGAUCAUGAAGCAGUCAUGGACCUCGGGGAACUCCUCUGCCUUGUGACCCUCCUUCUUGUCGUUGUCGUGGGCUCGGCCACCUUCCGCCGGGGGCCCGACCUUGUGGAAGUAGCGCCGAAGCAUGACGCACUCCUCAUGGGUGUGCUUGACGGGACCCUGAUGAUAGGGGUACGACUCCUUGAGCAUCUUGUCGAACAGGUUGGCGCCUCCGGGAGGCUUCUGAGGGUUCCUGUGCUCGACGGCGGCGACAAGGUUCGCGUCGGCGGCGUCGCGUUUCGCUUGCGACUUCUUCUUACCCUUUUCUUGGUGCCGCGCUGAGCGGACGCCUCAGGGACGUCUUCCGGCUGGCGCCCCUGAGGCUGCUUGUCCUUCCGGAAGAUGGCCUCGACCGCCUCCUAACCAGAGGCGAACUUGGUGGCGAUGUCCAUCGGCUCGCUCGCCCUGGUGGGAGUCUUGCGACCCAGCUUGCUCACCAGGUCGCGACAAGUGGUGCCGGCGAGGAACGCGCCGAUGACAUCCAAGUCGGUGAUGUUGGGCAGCUCAGUGCGCUGCUUCGAAAAUCGCCGGAUGUAGUCCCGCAGGGAUUCUCCUGGCUGCUGGCGGCAACUUCGGAGAUCCCAGGAGUUCCCAGGGCGCACGUAUGUGCCCUAGAAGUUGCCGGUGAAGGCUUUGACCAGGUCGUCCUAGUUGGAGUUCUGCGCAGGAGGCAGAUGCUCCAGCCAGGCUCAAGCGGCGUCGGAGAGGAACAGGGGGAGGUUGCAGAUGAUGAGGUUGUCAUCGUCCAUUCCACCCAGCUGGUAGGCCAGCCGGUAGUCCGCGAGCCACAGUUCCGGCCUCGUCUCCCCCGAGUACUUGGUGAUGGUAGUCGGGGUUCGGAACCGGGUCGGGAACAGCGCCCGUCGUAUGGCCCGGCUGAAAGCUUGCGGACCGGGUGGUUCGGGCGAGGGGCUCCGAUCCUCCCCGCUGUCAUAGCGUCCCCCACGCCUGGGGUGGUAGCCUCGGCGCACCUUCUCGUCGAGGUGGGCUCGACGGUCAUGGCGGUGGUGCUCGUUGCCGAGGCGACCCGGGGCCGCAGGCGCUGUGUUCCGCGUGCGCCCGGUGUGGACCGAGGCUUCCCGCAUGAAUCGGGAAGUCGCGGGGCGAUGCUCCGGGGGGUACCCCUGCCUUCGGGAGGCAGAGCUCUCCGCCCGUCGGACCACGGCAUCCUCCAGGAGAUUCUUGAGCUCUCCCUGAAUACGCCGCCCCUCGGUGGUGGAUGGUCCCGGCAUCGCUCGGAGUAGUAUUGCUGCUGCAGCCAGGUUCUGGUCGACCCCACUGGAAGCCGGGGGCAGCCUUGCCCUGGCAUCGUUGGUGAUGCGGUGCUGGACGUCCUGGGCCAGAUGACGCGCUUCUCCGGCCGGUGCUCGGCCUGCCCAUUCCUGCCCGAUAUUCUGCCGGAGCUGCACAAGUUGUCCUGCUUCCUCGUCGAGCCUGGCCUGCAUCUCGCGGAUUUGCUCGAGCUGUGCGUCCUGACCCCCCGCAGGGACUGGGACCACAGCUAGCUCCCGAAGGAUGUCAACGCGAGGCGCAGGCCUAGGGGGAUCGCCGUCCUCCGGCAUACCAAGGUGGUUGCCUUCGUCGAGACCCCCUAGAUCGACGUGGAAACAUUCGCGACUUGGGCCACAGUCCUCGUCGUCAAGGCUGUGGCCAUCAUCGGAGCAAUAGGAGAGGCAGUAGUCACAUGCAGUCAUGAAGUCCCGCAUGGCACUGGGGUUACCGAGCCCGGAGAAAUCCCAACCAGAGUCGGGCUCGUCAUCUUCCUCGGAACCCGGGGGCCCAUAGGUCGAGACGGCCAUCAAUCGGUCCCAGGUUGACCACAUAUGGUACCCCGGAAGGCUAGGAUAUGCCUUUAUGAAAGCGUCCACCGAAGCGGGAUCGCUUGGUGGGUCGAAGCUGAAUCUAAAAGGCACAAGAUGGAAAACGGACGGUACCUCCUGAUCGACGGAUGGUGGCGAAGUCGCGUCGGGGACGGACUGCACCGUUAUCUCAGGUACGAGGCUAACGCCCACCAAGUCCUUCGCGAGCGUGAUGGCGUCGUCCGUCUGCUUGGGGUUGGCGUGUUGCGGGGAAACGACGCUCGUCUUCGUCUCAGACGCGAGGUCAACGCCCGACGUGUCCCCUGCUGGGGCGCCGGCGCCAUCAACUCGCUCGACAGCCGACGAGGUGCCGCCUCCUGCUUGGCCAUGGUUGCCCCGCCUCCUCCUCCUCCGUCGGCGGGGAAGGUGACGAGACAGACCCGGAUGCUGUUCUUCCGUCACACGGGGAAGAUGUCGUCGAUUCUGCCGUCGUCGGGCGGGCUGACGGCCGCCAUUGUCGUUGUCGCGCGGCGGAGGAAGGAGUACCAUGUCGUAGCUGCCGUCGAGGGACAUGAACUCGAGACUCCCGAAACGGAGCAGCGUCCCGGGCUGGAGAGGUUGCUGGAGACUACCCAUCUGGAGCUUAACGGGAAGCUAUUCGUCAACACGCAGCAGGCCCCUACCUGGCGCGCCAACUGUCGGCGUUUUGACCCCGGGGGUCCCUGGACCGACGAGUAAAUUGUCGCUGCGUGUCCCAGCCCAGAUGGGUCGGCGCGAGAUGGAGCACAAGGGGGAACAAUAAGGGGAACCGCGGCCUCGUGUUGUCCUGCGCCCAGGGCGGAUGCGCUUGCAGUAGGGGGUUACAAGCGUUCGCGAGGGAGUGAGAGAGAGCCUUGUGCGUCAGCCCGUCCUCUCGCGCGGGCACCUUCUCGUACGAGGGCCCUAGACCUUCAUUUUAUAGAUGUAAGGAGAGGGUCCAGGUGUACAAUGGGGAGCGUAGCAAUGUGCUAACGUGUCUAGCAGAGAGGAGCCAGAGUCCUAUGUACAUGCCGAUGUGGCUGUCGGAGAGGUUUUAGCGCCCUGUUCAUGUGAUGUCGUGGCCGUCGGAGGAGUGCUUAAGCCCUGUAGGAGCAUAGCUGUCGGAGCUGUCGGGUCCUUGCUGACGUCUCCUUGCUUCCGUAGGGGGCUGAGAACCGCCGUCAUCAUGGAGCACGCGGGGUGCCAUCAUUACUUGUUUACCGGGGCAAGCCAGAUGGGACGCCGGUCUUGUUCCCCGUAGCCUGAGCUAGCUAGGGGUAGGGUAAUGAUGUACCCCCCUGCGGCGUGGUCGGUCCGAGCCCGAGGUCGGGCGAGGCGGUGACUCCUCCGAGGUCGAGGCUAAAUCCGAGCCCUGGGGUCGGGCGAGGCGGAGACCGUCGUUCGAGGUCGAGGUUGAGUCCGAGCCCUCGGGUCGGGCGAGGCAGAGUCCGUUGUCCAAGGUCGAGGUUGAGUCCGAGCCCUGGGGUCGGGCGAGGCGGAGUCCAUCGUCCGAGGUCGAGGUUCAGUCCGAGCCCUGGGGUCGGGCGAGGCGGAGCUUCCUAUGGCGCCUGAGGCUGGACUUGGCUGCUGUCAGCCUGACCCUGGCGGGUGGCACAGCAGUCGGAGCAGGGCAGGCGGCGCUGUUUUUCCUGUCAGGUCAGUCAGUGGAGGGGCGAAGUGACUGCGGUCACUUCGGCCCUAUCGACUGAGGAACGUGCGUCAAGAUAAGGUGUCAGACGAUCCUUGCAUUGAAUGUCGUUGCGAUACGGUCGGUUGGCGAGGCGAUCUGGCCAAGGUUGCUUCUCCGCGAAGCCUGCCCGAGCUGGGCCUCGGACGAGUCGAAGGUGCGCCCGUUGCUUGAGGAGACCCUCGGGCGAGACGUGAAUCCACCUGGGUCUCCUGUUCUUGCCCGAGGCUGGGCUCGGGCGAGGCGAGAUCGUGUCCCUCGAGUGGGCGGAGCUUUGACCUGUAUUGCGCCCAUCAGGCCUUUGCAGCUUUGUACUGAUGGUGGUUACCAGCCGAGUUUAUGAGUCUUGGGGGUACCCUAAUUAUGGUCCCAACACCUGACGCCUGCUUUGUAGGCCCUACGUCCAGCGCACGAACAAUAUCCCUCAACUAUUGUCCUGUGGACUCCGAUGCCCGCGCCAUUAUCUAAUCCCAUUUGUGCAGCUACCACAUCGUACAAAAAAUAGUACAGAGCAAGCACUCGAACUGACGUCCUAUGCUUUAGAAAUUUAGAGCUAACCACUGUUGGGGCGAAGGCAAAGACGCCACCCUUCGCUCGAGGCCUUCGCUGAUAACCGCUGGUCAGACAGAGACAGAACAGGCAGGGACACCCUUCGCUCCAUUCGGCACCAGACGAAGACCGGCGACGAAGUCAUCCCGCAGCGCGGCCUCGUUCAGCUCUGAGGCCCACGUGUGAUCUGGCCCAUUGUAACGGGCCCUGCGUGGCCGCCUUUGUGUUACGGGCCUAAUCUGUAAAGGCAUGCUUGUAAUUACAGCUUGUAACCCUGCUUUAUGGGAAUAUUCUGGGGAUAAACUAGGUGUCUGAGGGCACAUGCGUCCUUAACACAAGGCGUUGGGCACUCAGAUACCUAUAAAUACCCCCGCACAGUGCCCGUGAGAGGCUAGAUUAACAGAGCUAUUGCCCCCGAGCACGUAACCCUGUUGUCGCCACUGUUCACCCCUGUUGGCCUCCUUGCUGCUGAGAGCAAGUUCCAACAUUUGGCGCCCACCGUUCGUGCUACGACAAAACCACCCGCGAUGGCACCCAAGAGAGCUAACCCGAAGGCUGACGAGGCUGCGAAGGCAGCACUGCUUGCCGCAAGAAAGGGCAAGGCCCUCGCCCUCACCCAAUCCACCCACCAAGAGCCCACUGAAGACAAUAUUCCCCGCACCUGCGAAGACGACACCUUCCGCACCUGCGGGCCCGAAGGACAAUCGCAGCCGCCCCAGGCUUCGCCCCACUGGAGGGCGCGGAUCUCACCGAGGACGGCAAGGUCCUCGGCGUCUCAACAGAAGAACAGUUACAGCUGCGCGCCCUGCGCCUCAAGAACCGCAAUCUCCAGAGGCAGAAAGAGAUACUGGAGGCCAAGCGCCAGCGUGUGUCCGCACUAGCCAAGGUGCGGCAAAUGAUACGCGGCGAGGAGCAGAAGGCCCAAGACCUCGAGCGCGAGAUCGCGCUGAUGCAGCGCGAAGGCCACCUCGGUCUACAGCAAGAGCCACCCCUCCAGCAGUGCGCACAACCGGAAGACACGCGCGAAGGCCACCUCGGCCUGCAGCAUGGCCCACCCCUGCAACACCGGGCGCAGCCGGAGAACCCGCGUUUCCCCCAGCAUGACUACGCCUUCCAGCACGGCGCGCCAUUCCAAGGGGUCAACUACCUCGACGAGCAAAGUCCCCUGGCGCCACACCUGCAAGUGACGCCUUGGCCAGCUAACUUCCGAGCAGGGGCAUAUCCCAAGUACAACGGCAGCACCGACCCGGCGCAAUACAUAAUGAGUUAUCAAGUCGCCGUUGCAUCCGCCGGAGGGGACGACGCCACAAUGGCGAAGUCUUUCAUCAUCGCCCUAGAGGGCCCAGCACUCACCUGGUUCACCAGAUUGCCUCCGCUGUCCAUUGAUUCGUGGAGAAGUCUCAGGGACAAGUUCCUUCUCAACUUCCAAGGGUACCGUCCAGACACCGACGCUUUGGCCGAGCUCUCGCUUUGCAAACAGCUGGAAAAGGAGACUCUGCGGGAGUAUUACCGUAAAUUCUUAACACUCAAGUCACAGCUGCCCUCCGUCGAUGAUCAGAUCGCCAUCCACUACGCCAUCAGUGGCCUUCGGGCCGGCGUCCUCUACAGCCACUGUAUCAGAGAUCCACCCAAGAACCUCCAGGAGCUAUAUCAGCUCUUUGAAAAAUAUGCCAAAUCCGAAGAGCUCCACCAGCGCAAGGUUGAGUCACAGCGGAAGCCCAAAGAUGCCCCGCAGUCCAGCCGCACGUGGACGAGGACUCCGCAACCAGACUCCGGUCGAGAUGGCCGCAGUCAACAGCAAGUGCACAACAUCACCAACCAGCAGCCUGCUGCGGACCCCCCUCGUCGCCAGGAAUAUCCCCCCCCCAGGGCCGCGGAAACGGAACUCGUGGCAGGGGCCGAGGGCGCACGCAGCCGCCGCGCCGGUUCUACUGCCUUUUCCACGGCGAAGACUGCGCCCACCAGACCAAAGACUGCCCAGAAACGAAGGCCACCAGGGACAGAAUGGCGCGGGCGCAGCCAGUCGACAAUCCCAGAAUUGUCGCGCAUAAUUACCAGCCACCCCCUCCACCAUAUAUCCACGCUCCCGCUCCGCAUCCACCGCACCACGCCUACCAACACCAUCAGGAAGUACAAAUCGUACCUCCCCCACCCCCACCACCACACCAGCAACACCAAAACAUCCCCCAUGCCCCAAAGCAGGAGGACUUCGCCGAUCAACCAUAUCGCGGAGUCAUUCACAUGAUAACAGGGGGGUCAAGCACUGACUUCGACACCAAGCGGCAGAAGCGGGACCACUACCGCAGCAUCAACCAUGUCGCGGUCACUGGCCCAGUCGUGCAGACGAAGUGGUCCCACAUACCGCUAACCUUCGAUGCACGAGACGUCGACCUGCGCAGCGCCCCCCACAUUGACGCUAUGGUCAUCAAUUGCAGCGUGGCAGGCUGGGACUUACACAAAGUCCUAGUCGACAACGGCAGUCAGGCGGACAUCAUCUUCCUCCACGCCUUCGACCGCAUGGGUAUAAGCCACAGCCUGCUCAAGCCUUCGGACAAUCCGUUGUAUGGCUUCGGCGGCAAAGGCACCUUUCCCGUUGGCAAAAUAGAGCUGCCCCUCUCCUUCGGUGUAGCACCCAAUGCCCGAAGUGAGCAAGUAACCUUCGACAUCGUCGACAUGGUAUAUCCGUACAACGCCAUCAUGGGUCGGGGCUCCAUCAAUAAGUUCGAAGCUGCCAUCCACGGACUGUACCUAUGUAUGAAGAUACCAGGUCCGCUAGGCGCUAUCACGAUCUACGGCAACCAGCAGACGGCACGCAACAUAGAGCGGGACUUCGUGCCUGGUCAAAGGAACGUACACUAUCUCACGACCCAGCGCGAGGUCCCUGCGCCCGCCAGCCCAACCGAUAAGCAGCACGAUAAGGCACAGUUGCAGAGCCAAGACGGGACCAAGACUGUCCCCCUUGAUCAGGCCACGCCCAAGCAGACAGUCACUAUCAGCGAAGACCUUACAUCACAUGAAGAAGAGAAGCUUCUCUGCUGCCUGACCAAGAAUAAAGAUGUCUUCGCCUGGUCCGCCCUAGACCUGGUCGGAGUCAGCCGAUCCAUAAUUGAGCACAGCUUGGGAAUUGACCCUUCGGUGCGACCAAAAAAGCAAAGGCUCCGCAAAAUGUCCGAUGAAAAGACAGAGGCCGCCAAGGCGGAAGUGCACCGCCUCCUAGAAGCUAAAUUCAUCGAGCCAGUGGCUUACCCCACGUGGCUCUCCAAUGUCGUAAUGGUGCAGAAAAAAAGCGGGAAAUGGCGAAUGUGCAUAGACUUCACCAGUCUCAAUAAGGCCUGCCCGAAGGACAAUUUCCCGUUGCCGCGGAUCGACAAAAUAGUCGAUAGCGCGGCCGGAUGCGAGGUCAUGUCUCUCCUCGACUGCUUCUCCGGCUAUCACCAGAUAUACAUGAAGGAGGAAGACAAGGCUAGCACCAGCUUUAUAACACCCUUCGGCACUUAUUGCUUCAUCAGAAUGCCGGAGGGUCUCAAGAAUGCCGGGUCCACCUUCUCCAGACUCACCAAAACAGUACUCGAGGGCCAGGUCGGCAGAAAUAUAUUUACAUAUGUGGACGACAUCGUCGUCGCCAGCAAGAAUAAGGAGGACCAUCUCGCCGAUCUGGCCGAGACAUUCACGAACAUGCGAGAUGCACGACUCCGCCUAAACCCGGAAAAGUGCGUCUUCGGUGUUCACCAAGGCAAGAUAUUGGGCUACCUGGUGUCACACCGCGGCAUCGAGGCCAACCCAACCAAGAUCCAGGCCAUCGUCGACAUGUCGCCUCCGCAGUCCGCCAGGGACGUCCAGCGUCUGACAGGCAGAUUGGUCGCUCUCAACAGAUUCAUCUCCAGGUCCGCCGAGCGAAGUCUCCCCUUCCUCAAAACACUCCGCGGUGCAAAAGACUUCGCCUGGGGACCGGAGCAAGCAGCGGCCUUCGCCUCACUAAAACAGUACCUGUCGGAGCUAGCCAUCCUCACAAGCCCCGACUCCUCGCUUCCCCUAUUGCUCUAUGUCGUGGCUUCGCCGCACGCGGUCAGCGCGGCACUAGUGCAGGAGCAGACAGUCGAGGGCGCAGUCAGACAGUGCCCUGUUUACUAUGUCUCCGAGGUCCUGACACUGUCCAAAUGCAACAUGACAGAGCUGGAGAAGAUCGCCUACGCAGUUGUUAUGUCCUCGCGCAAACUGCGCCAUUACUUUGAAGCAUUCAAGGUCUGAGUCACCUCAGACAGGGGGCUCGGCGAACUAUUCAGAAACCCGGAGGCAUCGGUGAGGAUUGCCAAGUGGGCAGCCGAACUCUCCAGCUACCACAUCAGCUUCGAGCCCAGGACAGCCAUCAAGUCGCAAGUCCUGGCAGACUUCGUCGUCAACUGGACUGGGCCAGUAACACAGCCGGACCCGUCCACAGAGAAGGUCUGGACCAUCCAUUGCGACGGCGCAUGGUGCCAUGCGGGGGCAGGCAUCACUGCAGUCGUCACCUCACCAGCCGGAGUCAAACACAGAUAUGCAGCACGCCUCAACUUCGCUCUAGAGUCCGACAGAUGCACAAACAAUAUAGCAGAGUAUGAAGCGGUUAUCCUCGGCCUCCGCAAGCUAAGGGCCCUCGGAGUCACCACAUGUAUCAUCAAGACAGACUCCAAGAUAGUUGCCGGCCAGGUCGAGAAAGACUAUGCAGCAAAAGACCCCGCGCUCAUGCAAUACCUCGCGGCUAUCCGAAGCCUCGAGAGACAGUUCAAGGGAUUCACCUUACAGCAUGUGGAUAGGGCCAAGAACGAGGAGGCCGAUGCAUUAGCCAAGGCCGCCGCCAGGGGCGAGCCCUUGCCCUCCGACGUGUUCUUUCACACCAUCGGCACGCCAGCCGUCCGGAGCCCCGAAGGGCUCCAAAUAACUAAUGAUAGCGAGGGCCACCGCAUAGUCAACCUAAUCAUGACCGAAGACUGGCGGGCACCAAUAACCCUGUUCCUACAGGGGUACUAUCAUCCAACCGACGUCAGUGAGGCAAAGCGCCUCAGACAUCGAAGCCGGGACUUCGCACUGAUUGAGGGCCAAUUAUACAAGAAAGGGGUCAGUCAGCCAAUGCUUAAAUGCGUCACCGAAACCGAAGGCAUGCAGAUCAUACGCGAAGUCCACAGUGGCACGUGCGGCUCGCACGCAGGGCCAAGGGCCCUGGCUGCCAAGGUGAUCCGACAAGGGUUUUACUGGCCUGCAAUGAUCUGCGCCGCAAAUCGAGUCACAAGGUCCUGCGAAGCCUGCCAGAAGUUCUCUCCUCGUUCAGGCAACCCCUCGCAAUAUACAAAGCUGAUCGCCCAUACAUGGCCUCUCCAGCGCUGGGGCCUGGACAUUGUCGGGCCCCUGCCCACCGCUCAGGGGAACCUUAAGUUCGCCUUCGUAGCCGUCGAAUACUUCACCAAAUGGAUUGAAGCGAGGGCUGUUUCCACAAUCACAUCAAAGACUGCCCAAAAAUUCUUCUGGCAGAACAUUGUUUGCCGCUUCGGAGUACCGUCCGAGCUAACAGUUGACAACGGCAAGCAGUUCGACAGCCAAGAUUUCAAGGAUUUUUGCUUCUCCAUCGGCACCAAGCUUGCCUUCGCUUCAGUCUAUCAUCCGCAGUCCAACGGGGUCGUGGAGCGUGCCAAUGGGAAAAUCUUCACAGCUGUCAAGAAGAUGCUCCUCGACGAAAAAAAGGCAGAUGGACCGAUUUAUUACCGGAGGCAGUCUGGGCGCUAAACACAACUGAGUGCAGGGCGACCGGGUUCACUCCUUUCCGCCUUCUAUACGGAUCGGAGGCAAUGACCCCGCAAGAAAUAAAGCAUGGGUCCCCGCGUACAGUUUCGUCAGCCGUCCCCGACGUGGAUGAGCCAACUUCAAAAGAUCUCAUUGACGGAGACCGGGUCUUCGCCCUACAGGCCCUAAACAAAUACCAAGCCCAGACCAAAGCAUGGCGCGACCACGCAGUCAUCCCGAGGGAGUUCAGCGAGGGGGACCUCGUACUCGUCCGAACAGCUCGGACGGAGUCCAAGGGCAAGUUGGAGCCCAAGUGGGAGGGACCCUUCAUAGUCAAGACAAAAGCUUCCCCCAGCGCUUACAGGCUCACAACGCCAAAUGGCGAGGACCUGGAGCACUCCUGGAACAUCGACAACCUUCGCAUAUUUUUUGUUUGACCCAUUUAGGGCUGAUUUCGCCCUUGUAAUUCGCCGCAAACAAUCUUGUACCGGCCCGCACUCUUUUCCUCCCGGGGGGUGAGGUUUUUAACGAGGCGGAGCCAUGUAAUAUAUGUGAGAAAAAUCCCCCGCAAAAACGUGUCGAAAAAAGACCGCGACAACGGUCUUCGGCAUUCGACCAAUUCGAAGUCACCGCGAGGCUAAGCGCUAGCCACCCUCGCGUGCGACAAGUCCGCGCAGAAGUCGCCUAAGGGUGCAGCCGGACUAGCACAACAAGUGCGAAAAAAUCCGAUGUCUAUCGCGAAGACUAUCCGCGCAGAAGUCGUCUAAGGGUGCAGCCGGACUAGCACAACAAGUGCGAAAAAAAUCCGAUGUCUAUCGCGAAGACCAUCCGCGCAGAAGUCGCCUAAGGGUGCAGCCGGACUAGCACAACAAGUGCGAAAAAAAUCCGAUGUCUAUCGCGAAGACUAUCCGCGCAGAAGUCGCCUAAGGGUGCAGCCGGACUAGCACAACAAGUGCGAAAAAAAUCCGAUGUCUAUCGCGAAGACUAUCCGCGCAGAAGUCGCCUAAGGGUGCAGCCGGACUAAGCACAACAAGUGCGAAAAAAAUCCGAUGUCUAUCGCGAAGACCAUCCGCGCAGAAGUCGCCUAAGGGUGCAGCCGGACUAGCACAACAAGUGCGAAAAAAAUCCGAUGUCUAUCACGAAGACUAUCCGCGCAGAAGUCGCCUAAGGGUGCAGCCGGACUAAGCACAACAAGCGCGAAAAAAUCCGAUGUCUAUCGCGAAGACUAUCCGCGCAGAAGUCGCCUAAGGGUGCAGCCGGACUAAGCACAACAAGUGCGAAAAAAAUCCGAUGUCUAUCGCGAAGACUAUCCGCGCAGAAGUCGCCUAAGGGUGCAGCCGGACCAGCACAACAAGUGCAAGAAAACCCGAAGUCUAUCACAAAGACUCCGCACAGAAGCCGCCUAAGUGCGCAGCCGAACUGGUACAACAAAAGCAGAAACGACAGCAUCAAACCGUCCGCGCUAAGACCGACUAUAAUCACACCAGCACAGCAUAGCCAACCAUACCAGACAAAGUACACAACGCCCUCGCAGGCACAGGCACGCGAGGGCACACAACUUCAUCUUACAAGUCUUUACACAUAUACAAGCGAGGGCGCCACACUCUACAUCGGCUCAACCUUAGGAAUAAUUCCCAUCUCCCUAUAAUUAAAUAACAUUAUUCUAAGCUCCUCACCCGCAAAAAGACUUCGCAGUUCCCCCUCCCUUGUGCCCGCGGCGGCCGGCAAAGACAACAGCUCCUGCCGACCAGCCCUACUCACGCGAAGCCGAGCCCUUUCCUCCGCACUAACCCUACGCUUUGCAACCGCCCUUCGUCGUCGGCGCCCGAUGCAAGGACCUGGCACGUCUGGCGCGCCCGCGGCGUGUGGCGAAGCCGCCGCCGCAGCUACGUCCAAGGCCGCAAAAUAAUCCAAGUCCUCCUCCGACGACUCCUCAGUCCACUCAACCGAGCUCCCAGAGUCAGUAAAAUCAAAAAACUCAGAUACAGACCCACCAUAUUCAUUCCCACCUUCCGCGGUCGAAGCCGCCAAAAACUCAGUAGUAGCGGUUGCGUGCGCAGGCCCAAAAUCUUGAACCUACGCAGCAACCAAAAUUCAGCACAACACCCAAAAAUUCCCCAACCCUAAACACCUACUACGCCACCUGCGAAGGCCCUGACGCUGCGGGUGCUUCCGCCGUUGGCUCCGCCGUUGGCUCCGCCGCUGCCUCCACCGUUGUUUCCGCCGCCACCGCCGCGGGAUCUUCAGCACUCGGCACAGCAGCUGCGGGGGCAUCAGGGGCGCCUUCGGCCACCUUCGGGGGCAGGUCUUCGCCGGCCACAGCGGAUGUGGGGGCAGCCGUCGCGGUCGCUGCGGUCUCCGGGGUUGGCUCCAGGGCGACCCCAGUCACAGCCUCCGCGAGGGUCGGCUCCGGGUCUGGCAGCGCGCUGUUCAGAACCCCAAAGUCGUCCACCCGCUCGCCGCGCUCCGCCUAGGACAAGACACACAGAUUCAGCAAACACACGCACAGCCCGCAUACAGCAAACGCCAAACAAACAACAACGUUACCUGAGCCCUCGCAGUCUCGGCCCGCUCCCUGACCACCUCACGACCGUACAGACCCCACAUCCGGUCAUAAAGGGCCCCGACGGAUUCCUUCACUACGGGGUCUUCGACCUUAUAGAUAUCUCGCUCAAAAUCUUCAUCCGCCUGGUCGAAGGCCUCGAAGUGCCGGCACCCUUCGCGGGAGAGCGCGUUCAUCGCCCCCUCGCAGGUGACCAGGGAAGCGUACGACAUCAACCCCCCCGCGACGGCUGGAAGUUCCAGCAGCUCCUCCUGCACCCACUGCAGACAGCGAAGGCCGGGCUCUCGGUCCGGCACCUCGAAGUCACCGGUCCGCGCACCCAGCUCACGAUAUGUAUCUAUAAGCUGCGUGCGCGUCCGUUCGGCCUCCGCAUGCAUCGCGGCCUCGACCUCCUUCGCGCGGCUCUCCAGGGCGGUGAGCCGCUCUUGCAGAUGUUCGGCGAGCUCCUUGGCAAGAUUGCCCUCCGCCCGCGCCAGCUUGGCCUCCGCCUGCUCAGCCUGCCCCUUGGCGACGGCCUCGUUGGCUUCCCUCCUCUCCGCCGCCAGUUGGCACCGGAGGUCAGCCUUCUCCCUCUCCAGGGCGGCCACCCUGUCCGUCAGCUUACGGCACUUGCUGUCGGAGGCCGACUUCUCACGGACAGCGUCAGCAUGUUGUGUCCGAAGUCUCUCGACUUCAGCAGACACAGCUGCCGUGAGGGCCCCCGACGCAGUACGGCUGGCGAAGUCAGCCACCUGCAGAGCCGCGACACAGUACGUAAGGUCGUUGCCCCAAAAGAGGUGGGGGAGAGAGUAUAACUCAGCGGACCUGACUCAGCGCCUCCGUCGCCUGACUCAGCGCCUCCGUCACUCCCUUCAGCCGGCGGGUCGCUGCGCCCGCCUCGUCCCUGACCACAGCGAGGGCCGACACCUCGCCUCCGGCGUCAAGGGCCUCGCCCCUCGCCUUCGGCACUAUGGCCGCUGUCGCGAUCUCCGCGCCAGGCGCAACCAUAGCAAGCUGGCCCUCGUCCGACCCUGCAACGCAUCUUCGAAUUUAAAAAAUAUAUAUAUAUAUAUAAUAAUAAUAAUAAUAAUAAUAGGCCAACGACUUACCACCAAGAUAGUCGUCUACAGUAAUAUCGGUGCCGAAGUCGGCAACGCGCUUGCCCGACAACGGCAACGCUCGGGCCGCCUUCGAAGCCUCCGCCACUCCGCUGGCCGGCGGCACCACCUUCGUUGACUUGGGGCCUCCGACGCCCGCCGUUGCCUCCGGCGCCUUGCUAGGUGCAGAGGCGCCCGCCUUCGCCGCCAGCGGCGGCUUGCCUCCACCGGAGGCCGCAGCCUUCGCAGCCCCCCGCUUCCUCUUCGGCCUAGCUUCAUGCAGCCUGACAGCCGCCUGGCGUUUUUGCGCCGCACCUUGGCGAUCCUUGUCCAUCACUGCCCACACAACAGCACCGAUAUUCCGCCCGUAAGGAAAAACUCUCCACUGACGAACCAUACGAGAUGUAAAACAGUCCUCGCCAGCCGCGCAGGGGAUAGGAACAUUCCUAGGCCAGCAACCCCCGGUAACCCUCAUCAUCCGAGCCGAAGUCUCCCGGAGCUCGGGCGAAGACAUCCUUUCCCCCGGGGCCGCACACGUCCUCAUUAACUCUCUAGCAAAACUAUCAGACACCCCAAGUCCUCCCAUCGCAGUACCUAAUUUUCUCUUUUUUGAGGAAGGGGCGGCCGCCAGCGCAGGGUCGCCUCCAGUCUCCACCGCCGGUUUCUUCCCACGGCGGUCCGCUUCGUCUUGACCAGGAUAGCCGUCGUACGGCAAUUGAUUUAAUUCGAAGACCCUGUUCAAACGGUCAUUUGACCCGCGGAUAUCAAAGUUGCGCUGGCCUUCCGUCCUCGGCACGUAACGCCCCACGAGCCGCACCGCCCCGUCCUCCGCAUCGCGCACAAAGGCGGCCGGGUCGCGGUUUCGCAGAUUCAGUGCGAAGGCAGGGCUUCGCACCACCCUUCCUCCGUGAAAAGGCAUCUGGCGAGGGCACACUUCGCCCAGCGCCCAGCCGUGCGCCAAGGGCCACACCCCAUACGCCACAAACUCUUCAACUAAAUCACGCCCACUGCUCUGACCGGCGGCGCACCGAAGGGCCCCCUCGUCUGCAUCUUCCUCUGCCACUUCAAAAGGCGGAUACGCAGAGUAAUAAUGAGAGCACAUCUCAGACACAGGGAGUCCCUUAUGGUCUUCGACAGUACCCUCCGCAACGUAAAACCAAAAUUCAUUCCAAUUGCCCCACUUGUUGCGGGCGCACGGAACCAACUCCACUACUUGCAUUGUGGUCUUGUCGGUCUUCGGCGUGAAUGUGCAUGACCCGAACUGGGCAACUUCGUCCCCAAUCAUCCUCUUCUGCCAAUGCAAACAAUAAUACUUCGCAAAAACUUCAACCGACGGCUGUCCGCCGUACGAAGUCGUCGCCCAGACAUACUUCGCCAGUGCCACCAUGGCAUUCGGUGUCAACUGAUGUAUUUGAACGUUGAAUCUACGCAGGACUUCGCCAACAAACCGGUGCGCAGGCAAGCGGAGACCGGCGGCGAAGAACGCCUCGAAAACGACCAAUUCACCAUCCGGCUCGGGGACUUCCUCCGUCCCCGGAGCACGAGCAACUCCGCCGCCAAAGUAGCCCAAUCGCUGCAUAUCUUCAACGCGGGCUGACGUCAUCCGUGACACACCAAAAUCAACAGAGUCGCCGGCGCGCAACUCCUCCACCAUCAAGCUACUCAACGUCUCCUCAGACGAGGCGGCGGCCGGCGGCGUAGUAGCAGCGGAAGAAGAGGAAGACGACAUUGCUACGUACCGUCGGCGGCGGCGGGCGGUCUGCUUCACUCGAGCCAGAACUCCGGUGAGCAAAAGGAGCAGCGGAAGAAGAGGAGCAGCAAGACGGCGGACGGCUAGGGUUUUCACGGAGCGCGGAAGGCAAAGUUCAAACAGCGCCGACCCCCGCCCCCUUUUAUAGGCAGGGCGCGGCUCUUCGGGAAACCCGCAAUCCGAUAGGGCGCGACGCUUCGGGAAACCCGCAAUCCAACAGUACGCCGUCCAUCAACGGUCACAUCAAAAACCCCCGCGGAACCACUUCGAGCGAGGGCAGCGUCUCCGCCAUCUAGCGACGUCUUCGGCACCAGGUGACUUUGUCGAACUGGUCCCUCGGAGGGCAAAUGUUGGGGCGAAGGCAAAGACGCCACUCUUCGCUCGAGGCCUUCGCUGAUAACCGCUGGUCAGACAGAGACAGAACAGGCAGGGACACCCUUCGCUCCAUUCGGCACCAGACGAAGACCGGCGACGAAGUCAUCCCGCAGCGCGGCCUCGUUCAUCUCUGAGGCCCACGUGUGAUCUGGCCCAUUGUAACGGGCCCUGCGUGGCCGCCUUUGUGUUACGGGCCUAAUCUGUAAAGGCAUGCUUGUAAUUACAGCUUGUAACCCUGCUUUAUGGGAAUAUUCUGGGGAUAAACUAGGUGUCUGAGGGCACAUGCGUCCUUAACACAAGGCGCUGGGCACUCAGAUACCUAUAAAUACCCCCGCACAGUGCCCGUGAGAGGCUAGAUUAACAGAGCUAUUGCCCCCGAGCACGUAACCCUGUUGUCGCCACUGUUCACCCCUGUUGGCCUACUUGCUGCUGAGAGCAAGUUCCAACAACCACCAAAUGACAUGUACCUUAAUAUUUAGAAAUAAACAAUAACUAUAUUUGAAUAAAUAUCCCAAUAACUAUUUAUAUGAUAUAUAAAAACCAUAAAAAAUCACGGAAACAAGAAAGAUCAGUAGAGGGAACUCUGAAGCGCUUGCGCCGGCUAUAUAGGUGAACAAGUCCCCUGGUUUACCAUGAUUCCAGGCUACAAACAUGCCGAAUUUGCGAUUCCAUGGUUUGUUUUUGAGGAAACAGUUCUGCCGAGCCGUAAACCGCAAUGAGCUUUCAACGACAACCAUUGCUUUCCGGAUCAUCCACGACCACGCCUACAGCUAGCUACAAAUAAUAGGAUAAGAGCCUGGUACGUCUCAUGGCCUCAAAAACAUUCUGGGUCGUACGUGAAAGGUGAAAAGCUUUGGCACGCAUUAGUCCAGGUCGAGACCAGAGUCGAGCAGGCAAUCCGAACGCAGUCAACCACAAGUCAUCAGGAUUGCUGGCUGUCCUAGUCUUCGCACCAACACGUUACACGCACACGGCACACCAUCUCUCUCGCUUCGCCCCAGAGUCCAGAGAUGUCUCUCUCAGCAGCUUCCAUCCUCCAUGCCCUUCUCCUCACCCUUCUCCUCGGCGCCACGGCCUCCGUCACGGCUGGCAACGGCCACGUGAACCCGUCGAUGUUUACCAACGGCACCGAGACGUGCUCCAGCGCCGACGACACGACGGAGAGAUACAUCUGCUACCUCUGCACGGGCCGCAACCCGUUCCUGAUCAGGUACUGCCCCAUCUACUGGGACGAGUGCCACCUCGUCCUCGUCUGUUACGACGACCAGGCUUCCGACUCCAUUCCCGCAGUGCCCGUGCCGACGUCGCUAGGGCCGGCGGCGUCGGCCAACCCCAGUGAGCUGCACGAAGACGAAUGCUACGUCAUGAAGCUGUACUGGAACGGUAGCUACGCCAUCGUCACCCGCCUCGGCUGCGCCCGGAUCGCCAGAUGCCUCCUCUCUCCUGCGGCGGGGGCGACAUGGCUGGCAGCGACAGCCGACAGGGACGCCCUUGGCACCACCACCGCAGCGCCGGCGACGACGGCUGCGCUCCAGGGGAGAUUAACGUCACGACUCGCGGAUUUGCAGCGGUGCAGCACGCAGGUCACUACGCCGUCUCUGCAUGGCGCCGUCGUCCGGACUCGUGGCUAGCGCUGUGUUGGCAUGGACGCAUGGUCGCGUACGGCGUACCGCGCUACAUGUCGCCAUGCGCAGUGCGAGUGCGUGUCAGGUCGCGCGCAUGCGGAGUUUGUGCGGACCGGGCGUUUUUCCGUCCAAAUGACUUUCGGACACUUCUAAAGAAGAAAGAUGAGAGAUUAGCUGUGUUAAUCGGUAGGGAGCUUGCUUUGAUCCCGACGAAAGAAAAAUCAGAAAUGCUUCACGUAUGAUCCACCCACCCGUAUCACUGGAAUGCAACUAAUGUUAAUAUAUGGUUGUUAUUGACUUUUGUUCUGAACUAAUGAAUCUUAAGCCAUUAGAUGAAUCUAAUCGUGGCUAAGUUUAUCAUUAUAGUCGUACAUGUAGCAGCGCCAAAAAAAAAGUCCAACACCUCUCGAGCUCCCAAUGUAUACGACUGCGCGCUUCGGAAAAUGGAUGCAUCUGUACGCAAAGAUAUGUCGCUACUUCAAGCAAAUUGACUAAAAUUUAGCUACGUUUAGCUUACGAACCCGGGUGUUGGGGCGAAGGCGAAGACACUACCCUUCGCUCGAUGCCUUCGUCGUCUCGCUCCACCAACGACGCCAAGGACGCUGGUCCGAUGAGGACUUCGGGACUGGACUUCGCGGGCGGCCUUCGCUCUUAUCCAUCACGAGACGAAGGCAUGACUCCAAC
rnacentral:lncRNA from 1 species